GGUCCGGUAGCUCAACGGUAGAGCAGUGCCCUCUUAAGGCAUUGGUUCUGAGUUCGAAUCUCAGCCGGAUCACUA
rnacentral:tRNA from 2 species